UUUGGUAGCAAUGAUGACUGAACUUUUUUCCCCAGCAGAUCGACUCUGUUGACCAUUUAUAACGAAACAAAAGCCAAAUGCUCUGAGCAACCAGC